UACGAAGGGGGCUAGCGUUGUUCGGAAUUACUGGGCAUAAAGGGCGCGUAGGCGGCCUACUAAGUCAGACGUGAAAUCCCCCGGCUUAACCUGGGAACUGCGUCUGAUACUGGAAGGCUUGAGGAUGGGAGAGGGAUGUAGAAUUCCAGGUGUAGCGGUGAAAUGCGUAGAUAUCGGGAGGAACACCGGUGGCGAAGGCGGCCCCCUGGUUGGAUACUGACGCUGAGACGCGAAAGCGUGGGGAGCAAACAGG
rnacentral:rRNA from 1 species